GGGAGCGCCCCGCGCGGCGCCGCUGCCGCAGAGGGCCGGGGACGCGACGGCCACCGCCAAGUGGGAGACUCCUGGAAGGUGGGGGCGGAGAGGAAGCGAAGAGGCCGCGAUUUCUUGCCUGGCAGUCGGCGUGGGGGUGGGGGCGAGGGGGAUAAAUAAAUUAAUAAUUCAAUACCGAAAGCCACCCGCUUCCGACUGCAGCGAAUCCAGGCCGGUGCCAGCAGCGGCUUCUUUCUCAAGAUAAUUGCUAUCCACUGGGUUUGGCUUAUUUGAUUUUGUUAUUUAAUGUGUGUUUGGUAUGGAGGCUGGUACCCUGUUCAGUCUUAGGGAAAGGCGAGGAAAGAAAAUAUGCCCCCCACCCACCCCUGCUCCCACACAUUUGUAGAUACCGAUAAAGCUCAAUAUCCAGUUCAGGAAAUGGGAAACACUGAUAUAUGACUCAUCCCAUGGAACAGAAUAUAGUCUACGUGGAAUGUCACACUGUGCUUCUAGUGGCAAAGUUUGCAUAUAUGUAUGUAUCAGUGUAUCUUUAAAUUUGCCUUUGUGUUGCAAGCACUUGUUAUAUCCUUCCUAUUAUUCCUAUUAUUUAAAUCAAUUUUUAUUUUGCAAGACUACUGGUAAAGAUUUUGGAAUGAAAUGUUUCUGGGGAACCGAGUCACCCUAAUUUAAAAAAUAAAAAUAUCUCAGUAAUUUGGACAAUAGGUUUAAUGUAUGAGGUUAAAUAUAUACCUGCUUAUUAUAAAUAUGCAGAAUCAUUUCUUGUUUAGAAAAUAUUUCAAAUAUUUUAUGGAAUAAUUACAGAUUAUUUGUGUUCAGUUGGCAAUGUUCUAGCCGAACAACUUAUAAUUAAAAAUGUAAAUAAAGAAGUGUCAUUAGUCUAAAAA
rnacentral:lncRNA from 1 species